rnacentral:rRNA from 1 species
GUGGGGAAUAUUGGACAAUGGGCGCAAGCCUGAUCCAGCAACGCCGCGUGAGGGAUGACGGCCUUCGGGUUGUAAACCUCUUUCAGCAGGGACGAAGCGAAAGUGACGGUACCUGCAGAAGAAGGACCGGCCAACUACGUGCCAGCAGCCGCGGUAAUACGUAGGGUCCGAGCGUUGUCCGGAAUUAUUGGGCGUAAAGGGCUCGUAGGCGGUCUGUCGCGUCGGGAGUGAAAACUCAGGGCUCAACCCUGAGCGUGCUUCCGAUACGGGCAGACUAGAGGUAUGCAGGGGAGAACGGAAUUCCUGGUGUAGCGGUGGAAUGCGCAGAUAUCAGGAGGAACACCGGUGGCGAAGGCGGUUCUCUGGGCAUUACCUGACGCUGAGGAGCGAAAGCAUGGGGAGCGAACAGGAUUAGAAACCCCUGUAGUCC